ensembl:lncRNA
CCCCAUACUCUGCGACCUCGUGUCUAGACCCACCCCCACCUGUGUUCCCACAUCCACGCCCCCCACGCCCUGAGUCCCUGAGUCCAUGCAGCCCGGGUUAGCAGUUCGCUGCUUCUUUCCUGUCAGUCCCUGGGCUUCGCUGAGGCGUUUUGGAAGCUUGCUGUCCCCUCUCGUCGUCUCGCUAUUUGUUUCUCAUAGAGAUCAUUACAGAAUAUUGAGUAGAGCUCCCUGUGCUAUACAGGGCACAGUCUAGCACGUCUGCUGUGAUGGUUAUAUUAUACUGCAAACCACCAGCAGCAGGUGAGCGGACAAAGACCCCAGAGGAUCCUUCAGGUCCCCAGUGGCCACAGCUGAGCACAGCUGACCUGCCCCACAGACGUGCUGCUGCUCCUGCUGGCCCACCUGACCAAGGUGCACCUCUGUGCAUUCACAGCUUCCACUGAGUGUGUCCCUUCUGACCGGAGAAAACAAUCUGGAUACUGUUUAAAAGGUAAUUUAUUUCAGAAGAGGAAGAUGAGGCAUUCUGGGCUUGCUGAUUAAAAGUGGGCCUUGGUGAUGCUGCUGAUGAUGGGCGGGCUUGUUCAGUGUCCUGA